rnacentral:rRNA from 1 species
CCUACGGGGGGCUGCAGUGGGGAAUCUUGCACAAUGGGGGAAAGUCUGACGCAGCAACGCCGCGUGAGCGAUGAAGGCCUUCGGGUCGUAAAGCUCUGUCCUUAGGGAAGAAUAAGGACGGUAGCAUAGGAGGAAGCCCUGGCUAACUACGUGCAAGAAGCCGCGGUAAUCCGCAGGGGGCUAGCGUUAUCCGGAAUUACUGGGCGUAAGGGGUGCGUAGGUGGCCCUUGAAGUCAGAGGUGAAAGGCUACGGCUCAACCGGAGUAAGCCUUGGAAACUGUAGGGCUUGAGUGCAGGAGAGGAGAGUGGAAUUCCCAGUGCAGCGGUGAAAUGCGUAGAUAUUGGGAGGAACACCAGUUGCGAAGGCGGCUCUCUGGACUGUAACUGACGCUGAGGCACGAAAGCGUGGGGAGCGAACAGGAUUAGAUACCCUAGUAGUC